GCACUGUCUCCAGCAAUCGCCUCUCCUUUCUCGCCGCCCGCCGUCGUUCUCCACCUCUAGAGCUCCGGCAAACUCUGGCCCACGCACAGAUCUUGGCCUCUCGGGCGAUGCACGCCGGCCGCGGAUAGAUCUCGGCCAGACGAUUGCCAAGGCUCUAAUAACUGCAGCAGCCGGACCGCGUUUCUCCGGCGCGGCCUUGCGUUGUCCCCCUCGCUGCCCGCCGGCCAGAGCUCCACGGCGUCCAGCGAGGGUGGCUUUUGCUCGCGGCCGCACCGGUCGUCCCCGGCUGUUUGCCUACAAGGGUUUGAUUGUUUCCGUGACCAUUAGCUGGACCUCCGCAUAGCAGUAACAGUUUGUGGUGGACAUGUGGACCGCCUGCGUACACGGCCAGGUCUCAAGUGAUUCAGGCCUAGAUCGAUGAGGCGUGGUGGCCAUAGGUCGCGUGCGGCCGGCGGCAAGAGGAAGCCUGGAGCACCAGACCAAGGACGAGUGAACAUGGCCAACGACUGGACGACGUGGUUACCAAGGCCGGGCCAAUGGCCAGGAAAUUAGGAAUAGGAAGAGAGAAUCUUCUUUCAGCGUGGUGGUGGUCAGCAGUAUUGAUAGGACCAUGUAAUACGUAGUUUUGAUUAUUAGAUGUACGUAUUUCACUAUGCCAUCAGUUCUGUCGGACCUGUAGUUACCUUACAAAAUUUCAUAUCGAAAAUCCAAAGUCUGCAUUUUACCUCUUGUGAAAUUGAUUCUGUUGUUAGUGUUUCUUCACAAGGUAGGUCUAUGGGACUUGCAUCUCAUGACUAUAUAUAUUGGGAAUUGGUUAUCUUCUCAGUACUUCACGAUUAGGAUGUUGCAUUCCCAUACUUCUCAUAGUUGGUGCUCAUUGUGUGGUAACUAUUUUAUUCAACUAUCCGGAUGUGUUUCUUGCCCCUAUUCUGGAUCUCUCUAAUUCUUGGGUGUACGUGGUCGUGCAUAUGUUUUUGAUAUUAUCAGUUAAAAUUUUCGUUGGAGGACAUGACAUGCUUAGAAAUUUAGUUUAGUUAGAUUUUCAACGUUUUAGUUAUUUUCUAGAAUUUUUUAUUACUGUUCAUAUCCUCAUAUCUCGUUUUUUUUAUGCUGCAAAAGUUGGAAGUUAUAGGUAUUUGUGGUGCAGCCAACCAAAGCCAUGGGUGUUGCCAGCAGCCCUUCCUCUUCUAAAGAACGCAUUGGUGACGGACGGCCACAUGGAGCCAGAUCGAGUCUGCCAUGGGAGGGGCAUGGGAGGCUGUGAGCACACUCAGAAGCAAAUAACCAAAUUCAAGAUCUGCCGACAUAGACGAUUUCAGAGAUAAUUUCAUUGAUGCACUAUAUAUGUAUAACGUUACAUGUUUAUUUUAUGUUUGUGCUGCUGCUUAUUAUCGGUCUUGACGGUACUGCUUAGCUAUAUUUAC